ACCAAUCAUGUCGAGCCCCUAGCAUGCGAAAGGCCAUGUUGGAGGUAUGGUGAUGAGUUUGUAGGCAGGGACAUGUUGUUGCUUGGCAAAAAACUGGCAGCCUUGACCUCUGUGGACUAGUUCCACUGCAUCUGCCAGCACAGUUGGCCAUUAAAAUCCUGCUCUGAAAGCUUUGCCUACUAUUGUUCUUGAGGAUGCAUGAUUCCCGCAGAUUCCUUUAUGUAUUUCCUCCAAGAUGUCCUUGCCGUCUUUGCAAGUGACACACUUCAUGAGUACUCCCGAUGACGCUCCUCUUCUGUAGAGUUUGUCUCCGACUAGAAUGUAGCUUUUUCCUUGUCAUGAGACUUGUUUUGCCUGCGUCUUGUCAGAAGGUAGCUUGUGUUCUUUAAUGUGGUUGAUAAAAGGAGUCCUCCAGUCUACCUCGAUCAUCAUGAUUUCCC
rnacentral:lncRNA from 1 species